rnacentral:rRNA from 1 species
AUUGAACGCUGGCGGCAGGCCUAACACAUGCAAGUCGAGCGGAUGAAGGGAGCUUGCUCCUGGAUUCAGCGGCGGACGGGUGAGUAAUGCCUAGGAAUCUGCCUGGUAGUGGGGGAUAACGUCCGGAAACGGGCGCUAAUACCGCAUACGUCCUGAGGGAGAAAGUGGGGGAUCUUCGGACCUCACGCUAUCAGAUGAGCCUAGGUCGGAUUAGCUAGUUGGUGGGGUAAAGGCCUACCAAGGCGACGAUCCGUAACUGGUCUGAGAGGGUGAUCAGUCACAGGGGAACUGAGACAAGGUCGAGACCAAGACGGGAGGCAGCAGGAGGGAAGUUUGAGGAAUGGGCUAAAGACGGACGGAGCAACGCGGGGUGAGUGAUGAAGGUCUUCGAAUCGUAAAAUGCUGUGAGUAGAGAAGAAAAAAUGGGUAAGUAACUCUGCACGUCUGGACGGGACCUAAUCAGAAAGCGACGGCUAACUACAGG